GUGUGUGAAGAAGGCCUUCGGGUUGUAAAGCACUUUCAGCGAGGAGGAAAGGUUAACGGUUAAUACCCGUUAGCUGUGACGUUACUCGCAGAAGAAGCACCGGCUAACUUCGUGCCAGCAGCCGCGGUAAUACGAGGGGUGCAAGCGUUAAUCGGAAUUACUGGGCGUAAAGCGUACGCAGGCGGUUUGUUAAGCGAGAUGUGAAAGCCCCGGGCUCAACCUGGGAACUGCAUUUCGAACUGGCAAACUAGAGUCUUGUAGAGGGGGGUAGAAUUUCAGGUGUAGCGGUGAAAUGCGUAGAGAUCUGAAGGAAUACCGGUGGCGAAGGCGGCCCCCUGGACAAAGACUGACGCUCAGGUACGAAAGCGUGGGGAGCAAACAGGAUUAGAUACCCUGGUAGUCCACGCCGUAAACGAUGUCUACUCGGAAUUUGGUGUCUUGAACACUGGGUUCUCAAGCUAACGCAUUAAGUAGACCGCCUGGGGAGUACGGCCGCAAGGUUAAAACUCAAAUGAAUUGACGGGGGCCCGCACAAGCGGUGGAGCAUGUGGUUUAAUUCGAUGCAACGCGAAGAACCUUACCUACUCUUGACAUCCAGAGAAUUUACCAGAGAGGUUUAGUGCUUCGGGAACGCUAC
rnacentral:rRNA from 1 species